UACGGGGGGAGCAAGCGUUGUCCGGAUUCACUGGGCGUAAAGAGCGCGCAGGCGGUCGUUCAAGUCGAGUGUGAAAGCCCCCGGCUCAACUGGGGAGGGUCAUUCGAUACUGAUCGACUCGAAGGCAGGAGAGGGAAGCGGAAUUCCCGGUGUAGUGGUGAAAUGCGUAGAUAUCGGGAGGAACACCAGUGGCGAAGGCGGCUUCCUGGCCUGUUCUUGACGCUGAGGCGCGAAAGCUAGGGGAGCAAACGGG
rnacentral:rRNA from 1 species